rnacentral:rRNA from 1 species
UUUAAAAAUACAAGGAAGUUUUCGGCAACAACAGCUCUGUGAUGCCCCCUAGAUGAUCUUGGGUGCACGCCCGUUACACUGAAAGUUGCAGUAAGUAUUUAGAAAUCAUAAUCAUGUGGAUUCGUCCAGUUUAUUUAAGAUUUUUGCCUGAAUUGAAGAAUUUGGGAAAACUGUAAUCAAAGACUUUCGUGAUGGGGAUUGAUAAUUGUAAGUAUUUAUCAUAAACGAGGAAUACCUAGUAAACGCAAGUCAUCAACUUGCAUUGAUUACGUCCCUGCCCUUUGUACACACCGCCCGUCGCUCCUACCGAUGAAUAGUCCGGUGAAAUAUUGGGACUUGUUUUUGGAGGGUUUAUUCUUUCCACGAAAUGAGAAACAUUAUUCAACCUUAUUAUUUAGAGGAAGGAGAAGUCGU